rnacentral:rRNA from 1 species
ACGAUAGCGUAAGGGCGCACGGGGGAUGCCUAGGCUCUCAGAGGCGAUGAAGGACGUGAUAAGCUGCGAAAAGCUACGGGGAUUGGCCAAUGCGAAUUGAUCCGUAGAUAUCCGAAUGGGGCAACCCACCAUGUAAAUGGUAUAUCGUAAGAUAGGCGAACGUGGGGAACUGAAACAUCUAAGUACCCAUAGGAGGAGAAAACAACAGUGAUUCCGUGAGUAGUGGCGAGCGAAAGCGGAGGAGCCCAAACCGAGUAUGUUACGGCAUGCUUGGGGUAAUAGGACCUGCAUAAGAGUAAUUAACUAGACGAGAAUGGCAUGGGAAGGCCAACGAUAGAGGGUGAGAGUCCCGUAUUGGAAUAGUUGAUUAUUUGGCGGGUAUCCUGAGUAGGUCGGGACCGGAGGAAUCCCGAUUGAAUUAACCAGCACCAUCUGGUAAGGCUAAAUACUCCUGAGAGACCGAUAGUGAACUAGUACCGUGAGGGAAAGGUGAAAAGUACUCCGAAUAGGAGGGUGAAAUAGAACCUGAAACCGUGCGCUUACAAGCGGUCGGAGCCCUUUAGUGGGGUGACGGCGUGCCUUUUGCAUAAUGAGCCUACGAGUUACACCUCUCUGGCAAGGGUAAGGUAUUCAGUACUGUACCCGGAGCGAAAGCGAGUCUGAAAGGGCGUUAAGUCGGAGGGGGUAGACGCGAAACUUAGUGAUCUACCCAUGGCCAGGUUGAAGUUCCGGUAACACGGAAUGGAGGACCGAACUGAUAAGCGUUGAAAAGCUUCCGGAUGAGCUGUGGGUAGGGGUGAAAGGCUAAUCAAACUGAGAAAUAGCUCGUACUCCCCGAAAUGUUUUUAGGAACAGCGUCGGGAAUUGUAUGAUGGAGGUAGAGCUACCGAUAGGACUAGGGGGAGUCACAUCCUACCAAAUCCUGACGAACUCCGAAUGCCAUCAUAUAGAACCGGCAGUGAGGGCUGGGGUGCUAAGGUCCCAGUCCGAGAGGGAAAGAACCCAGACCUUCCGCUAAGGUCCCCAAAUAUAGGUUAAGUUGAACAAAGGUGGUCCAGUUGCACAGACAGCCAGGAGGUUAGCUUGGAAGCAGCUAUUCCUUUAAAGAGUGCGUAACAGCUCACUGGUCGAGCGACAGGGCGUCGAUAAUAAUCGGGCAUCAAACCUAAUACCGAAGCGAAGGAUUGCAGUGAUGCAGUGGUAGGGGAGCAUUCCAAAGACGGCGAAGGUAUCCUGUAAGGGGUGCUGGAGAUUUUGGAAAAGCAAAUGUAGGCAUAAGUAACGAUAAGGCGGGCGAGAAACCCGCCCACCGUAAGACCCAGGUUUCCUGAUCAACGUUAAUCGGAUCAGGGUUAGUCGGGGCCUAAGGCGAACCCGAGAGGGGUAGUCGAUGGACAAUGGGUUAAUAUUCCCAUACUAUUUAUACAGGCGAAGGAGAGACGGAGUGAUGAAAGAUCCGCCCGGUGACGGAAUACCGGGUUAAAGCGAGUAGGUAUUGGUUUGGUAGUUAAAUGCGCCAAGCUAGCCGAACGUGAUAGUACCGAGCGUCUUCGGACAAUUGGAUAGUGAUCCUAAGGGCUUCCAAGAAAAACUUCUAGCGUUAAGCGUAUAGAUACCCGUACCGCAAACCGACACAGGUGGUCGAGGAGAGAAUCCUAAGGUGCUCGAGUGAAUCAUGGCUAAGGAACUCGGCAAAAUGGCCCUGUAACUUCGGGAGAAGGGGCGCUCUAGCGAUAGAGCCGCAGUGAAAAGGCCCAGGCGACUGUUUAACAAAAACACAUGGCUUUGCAAAAUCGCAAGAUGAAGUAUAAGGCCUGACACCUGCCCGGUGCUGGAAGGUUAAGAGGGGAUGUUAGGUGGCAACACCGAAGCAUUGAAUUGAAGCCCCAGUAAACGGCGGCCGUAACUAUAACGGUCCUAAGGUAGCGAAAUUCCUUGUCGGGUAAGUUCCGACCUGCACGAAUGGUGUAACGAUCUGGGCGCUGUCUCAGCCAUGAGCUCGGUGAAAUUGUGGUAUCGGUGAAGACGCCGAUUACCCGCAACGGGACGGAAAGACCCCAUGCACCUUCACUAUAACUUAACAUUGAUAUUUGAUACAGGAUGUGUAGGAUAGGUGGGAGACUGUGAAUUGGCUUCGCUAGGAGUCAAGGAGUCGACGUUGAAAUACCACCCUUUGUGUAUCGGGUGUCUAACCUGCGAGAACUGGGGACAUUGUUAGGUGGUAUAUCGUGACUGGGAAAC